GGCUGCGUAGCUCAGUGGCAGAGCAAAGGACUCAUAAGCCUUAGGUCAGUGGUUCGAAUCCACUCGCAGCCA
rnacentral:tRNA from 1 species